rnacentral:rRNA from 1 species
GACGAACGCUGGCGGCGUGCUUAACACAUGCAAGUCGAACGGAAAGGCCCUGCUUUUGUGGGGUGCUCGAGUGGCGAACGGGUGUGUAACACGUGAGUAACCUGCCCUUGACUUUGGGAUAACUUCAGGAAACUGGGGCUAAUACCGGAUAGGAGCUCCUGCUGCAUGGUGGGGGUUGGAAAGUUUCGGCGGUUGGGGAUGGACUCGCGGCUUAUCAGCUUGUUGGUGGGGUAGUGGCUUACCAAGGCUUCGACGGGUAGCCGGCCUGAGAGGGUGACCGGCGACAUGGGGACUGAGAUACGGCGCAGACUCCAACGGGAGGCAGCAGUGGGGAAUAUGGCACAAUGGGCGGAAGCCUGAGGCAGCAACGCCGCGUGCGGGAUGACGGCCUUCGGGUUGUAAACCGCUUUCGCCUGUGACGAAGCGUGAGUGACGGUAAUGGGUAAAGAAGCACCGGCUAACUACGUG